AAGGAAAUAGCUCAGUGGUAGAGCACAUGCUUAGCAUGCAUGAGGUCCUGGGUUCAAUUUCCAGCACCUCUA
rnacentral:tRNA from 1 species